AGUCCUUCCUGAAGUCUGCCCUGCGUGGGGCCUGCUGCCAGAAGCCUGGGCCGGAGGGGAGGGGCGAGGACGAAGUAGCGAACCGUCCGCUGGCUGUCUUAGAAGGAUGAAAAGUGAAUUCUGAGCCUGGCUGUGGGAGCUGCGAAAUCUGCUUGCCCAGAAUGGCAGACAAGAUCUUGGAGACGAGACGGUUUUAGGUCUGCAGUCAACCAGCUCUAUUUUGUCUCACCAGCACUUCACAUCCGGCUUACUACCUCCGGGCACUAUUCUAAGUAUGUUACAAAUACGAACUCAUUUUAUCUUCACAAUAUUUUUGGUCCUGCCUGUGCAGAUCCCUUUUGGACAGUGAGGGAAACUGAGGCACAGAGCGGAGAAGCUGCUUGCUCAAGGUCAUCAUUUGAACCCAUGUCGGAGUUAUCGUUCCUCUGUGCUGUGCGCCCGUGGGAGAGGCAUUAACACUCAAAAUACGAAACUGCACAGAGUCAAGAAAACGCACUCGUGGACGGCCUGCGGACCACUAGUUUGAGACCCCAGCCUCAACAUGAGCAUCUGUGCAAAUAGACACGAACUGUCCUCCUCCCAGAAGUAGACCUGGGCAUCCUGACCCCAUGAACACAGGGACUUGCUGUCUCUCCCCAAACUGGAUUCAGGCAUCAUGGCUUUUGAACACAGGGCUGAUGAUCCUUCCCAGAAGAGAAUGCAGGCAUCUUGGCCCCAUAAAAAUAGGGGUCCUGGGCCGGGCUCAGUAGCUCACGGCCUGUAAUCCCAGAACUUUGGGAGGCCUAGGCCGGUGGAUCACCUGGGGUCAGGAGUUCAAGACCAGCCUGGCCAACAUGGCUAAACCCUGUCUCUAUUAAAAAUACAAAAAUUA